UACGUAGGGCGCAAGCGUUGUCCGGAAUUAUUGGGCGUAAAGAGCUCGUAGGCGGCCUGUUACGUCUGCUGUGAAAUCCCGGGGCUUAACCCCGGGCGUGCAGUGGAUACGGGCAGGCUGGAGGCAGGCAGGGGAGAACGGAAUUCCCGGUGUAGCGGUGAAAUGCGCAGAUAUCGGGAGGAACACCGGUGGCGAAGGCGGUUCUCUGGACCUGUACUGACACUGAGGAACGAAAGCGUGGGGAGCAAACAGG
rnacentral:rRNA from 1 species